UUCCAGACUCCUACGGGAGGCAGCAGUGGGGAAUAUUGCACAAUGGGGGAAACCCUGAUGCAGCAACGCCGCGUGGGUGAAGGAGCGUUUCGGCGCGUAAAGCCCUGUCAGCGGGGAAGAAGAAAGACGGUACCCGACCAAGAAGCUCCGGCUAACUACGUGCCAGCAGCCGCGGUAAUACGUAGGGAGCGAGCGUUGUCCGGAAUUACUGGGUGUAAAGGGAGCGUAGGCGGGCGAGAAAGUUGAAUGUUAAAUCUACCGGCUUAACUGGUAGCUGCGUUCAAAACUUCUUGUCUUGAGUGAAGUAGAGGCAGGCGGAAUUCCUAGUGUAGCGGUGAAAUGCGUAGAUAUUAGGAGGAACACCAGUGGCGAAGGCGGCCUGCUGGGCUUUAACUGACGCUGAGGCUCGAAAGCGUGGGGAGCAAACAGGAUUAGAUACCCCGGUAU
rnacentral:rRNA from 1 species